UGUUAGGUGCUGAUCAUUUUCACGGAUGGUAAGCAGUCACAGAACCCUAAUUUACCAACAAUAAUAAAACCACAGGACAACGCACAGGUUCUCAAAAACAGGAAUGUAACAGUUUUCUCAGUUGGCGCUGGUUCUCCUGAUCCGGUCGAGCUAUUAGAAAUGUCCUCUGGAUAUCCUUUUGUCGUGCCGCUUGACUUAAGAAAACCCAGAGAAGCCGUUGCUCCCAUUAUUCAACAGUUGUGCAAAGUUGAAGUUACGGUGAUUGGAGAGAAAGGUGAACCUGGAGGAACAGGAGAAACGGGUAUUCCUGGACCUAGUGGACCCCGUGGCGAGACAGGAUCAAGUGGACCCCCGG